rnacentral:rRNA from 1 species
UGGGGAAUAUUGCGCAAUGGGGGAAACCCUGACGCAGCAACGCCGCGUGAAGGAUGAAGGUCUUCGGAUUGUAAACUUCUUUGAUGAGGGAAGAAAAAAUGACGGUACCUCAAAAACAAGCCACGGCUAACUACGUGCCAGCAGCCGCGGUAAUACGUAGGUGGCGAGCGUUGUCCGGAAUUACUGGGUGUAAAGGGCGUGUAGGCGGGAUUGCAAGUCAGAUGUGAAAUUCCGGGGCUUAACCUCGGCGCUGCAUCUGAAACUGUGAUUCUUGAGUGCUGGAGAGGAUAGUGGUAUUCCUAGUGUAGCGGUGAAAUGCGUAGAUAUUAGGAGGAACACCAGUGGCGAAGGCGACUAUCUGGACAGUAACUGACGCUGAGGCGCGAAAGCGUGGGGAGCAAACA